UUGGAAGGCUGACUUUCUACCACUCUCCCACCUUCCAGUCCCAUAAACUAAAAAUAACCAGAGGCUGGUAUGUCGGAGCAUGGAGUGGACAGUGAAGCUUCAAGGAAUUCCUCACAUGGUGCCUGUAGAUGCACUACCAGUGGCUGGACAAGUUACAAUAGGAGAGCUUAAGAGAAUGGCAAAGGACCUGAUGAAUUGCAUUCUAAGGUACAGGAGGAACUGGCUGGUGGUCCGGCUGAACCCUUAUACGUUUGGGAAAUUCUGGAAAAAUGGUGAAAUGCCAGAAAUUGGAGGAAAGCAAAUGCUGUCACUAUCUUCAAAAGGAGGAUAAAGGAAAAUCCAGCAGACUGUAGAUCAACCAGUCUGACAUCAAUCCCAGGGAAGAUUCUAGAGGAAUCAUAAAGAGAUAGAUCUGUAAGUAUCUUGAAAACAAUGCAGCCAUUACCAGCAUAGAUUUGCCAAGCAGAAGUCCUAUCAAAUGAACUUAAUCUUAUUUUUUUAAUUAGGCAAUUCCCUUACUACAUGGUGAGAAUGAUCUAGACAUAAUAUAUCAGUGUUCAUCAAUGGUUCCUCAUCAAAUUGGAGAGAGGUAUCAAGUGAAGUGCAACAGGAUUUAGUUUAGUGUCCUCUGUUCUUCAAUAUUUGUAUUAGUGACUUAGAUGAACAAGUGUAGGAAAUACUAAUCAGCUUCACAGAUAACACAAAAUCGGGUGGAACAGGUAACA